UACGUAGGAUGCGAGCGUUGUCCGGAUUUAUUGGGUUUAAAGGGUGCGCAGGCGGCCUUAUAAGUCAGUGGUCAAAUACAGUAGCUUAACUAUUGUAUGCCAUUGAUACUGUUUGGCUUGAAUGCGGUUGAGGUUAAUGGAAUUGGUGGUGUAGCGGUGAAAUGCUUAGAUACCAUCAGGAACGCCGAUAGAGAAGUCAGUUAACUGGAGUGUCAUUGACGCUGAGGCACGAAAGCGUGGGUAUCGAACAGG
rnacentral:rRNA from 1 species